UAGGGAAGUCUUCCACCAAUGGACGAAAGUACUGAUGGAGCAACGCCGCGUGAGUGAAGAAGGGUUUCGGCUCGUAAAACUCUGUUGUUAAAGAAGAACAUAUCUGAGAGUAACUGUUCAGGUAUUGACGGUAUUUAACCAGAAAGCCACGGCUAACUACGUGCCA
rnacentral:rRNA from 1 species